GACGAACGCUGGCGGCGUGCUUAACACAUGCAAGUCGAGCGGAAAGGCCCUUCGGGGUACUCGAGCGGCGAACGGGUGAGUAACACGUGAGUAACCUGCCCUAGGCGUUGGGAUAACCCCGGGAAACCGGGGCCAAUACCGGAUAUGACCUGGUGCCGCAUGGUGUGGGGUGGAAAGUUUUUUCGGCCUGGGAUGGGCUCGCGGCCUAUCAGCUUGUUGGUGGGGUGAUGGCCUACCAAGGCGAUGACGGGUAGCCGGCCUGAGAGGGCGACCGGCCACAAUGGGCCUGCGACACGGACCAGACUCCUACGGGAGGCAGCAGUGGGGAGUAUUGCCCAAUGGGCGGAAGCGUGAUGAAGCGACGCCGUGUGUGGGAUGAGGGCCUUCGGGUUGUAAACCUCUUUCAGCAGGGACGAAGCGUGAGUGACGGUACCUGAAGAAGAAGCGCCGGCCAACUACGUG
rnacentral:rRNA from 1 species